rnacentral:misc_RNA from 1 species
AAAACAUCCGCUUCAAAAUAGUGAUCCUGAAUUUGCCACUUAAAAGAACUACCCUUAGCUUGACACUGCGUAUUUUGACCAUUAGCUACGUCAACCAAAACCCCAGUAAUAGGUUCUUUCUCACACGAUAAUUUCUUGGCAAUAUGGGCUCCCAAAAAAUUAUGGUUGUUACCUGUAUCAAUGAGUAGCUGUAAUUGUAACUUCCCACUACAACCCUGAAUACACAUAGUUUGAGCACCAUGAGUCCCUUUUAAAGUAGUAGGAGACAACUGCAAUUCUUGUCGAAAUUCUUCUUCUCCCAUCUCUUCACUAUCCUCCCCUUCAUCCACAAUAACUUGCAUUACAAA